UUCUCUCAGCCUCAUGGACAAUGAGAGUCUGAUCGCUUCAGUUUCUCUAUUUUUUCCAGGACUGUUCGCUGAAACCACAAUCUCUACUAAAUAUGAUGAAGACAGUGGAACAGAAGUACAAUCUGUCACACCAACAUCUAUGGAUUAUGAAUAUGACGAUGUUCCUCUAGAACCAAUAGCUGGAGACACAAUCUCUCCUGAACAAGAUGAAGUCAGUGAAACAGAAGGACAAUCUGUCACACUCUCAUGUAACUAUGAGACAGCCAGUGGUUAUGCAAACCUUUUCUGGUACAAACAUCAAUCUGACCUUCAGGCUCCUCAGUUUAUACUUUGGAAAGAAGGAAAAGGGGGCUCAGAUGAACAUAUUCCUGAUAAACAGAAAUAUGGAUCCCAAACAUCAGAUACAUCAACUACAUUGACCAUCAGAGAGCUAACCCUGGCAGACACAGCUCUCUACUACUGUGCUGUAGACACACAGUGAUACAAAGUGUAGCAGAGGCUGUACAAAAACCUGAACACAGAUAUGUGACUCCUCUUCAAAGAGG